UACGUAGGGGGCAAGCGUUGUCCGGAUUUAUUGGGCGUAAAGAGCGUGUAGGCGGCUAGGUAGGUCCGUUGUGAAAACUCGAGGCUCAACCUCGAGACGUCGAUGGAAACCAUCUAGCUAGAGUCCGGAAGAGGAGAGUGGAAUUCCCGGUGUAGCGGUGAAAUGCGCAGAUAUCGGGAGGAACACCAAUUGCGAAGGCAGCUCGCUGGGACGUAACUGACGCUGAGACGCGAAAGCGUGGGGAGCAAACAGG
rnacentral:rRNA from 1 species